UUCAUUUUCAAUACCAUUCAUUUCAUAAAACAAAAUAUCAUUGCAUUCAUUCCAAUUACAUCAUAGUGUCCAUACAUAAGCCAUUACACAAAAAUUUGAUUUUUCUACCUAAGUUGACUUUUGGGCAACCGUUGACUUUUUGGUCAACCAGUUGACCAAAGUCAACUGACCACCAUUUUACAUCCCAAACCCUAACAUCUUGUUCCAUCCUUCCAUAAUCCAUCAAAUUCCAUGUUCUUUGGUUUGUAGCAUUCACUAGUUCCUUCAAGCAUAAGGCACCUUCUUCAAGCCAUGUCAAACCACAUCAUCCUACAAAACCGUUACACAUAAGCCAUGUCAAACAUUUCCAUAGCAUUCAAACAGUCCAUACAUCAUAAACAUGUUGUCGUACAAAUGCACACCAUUAAUAACCAUAGCAAUUCAUCGCAUGCUUCAAACAUUUCCAAACCAUGACCUUGACUUACCAUUUAUAAGCAUGUCAAACCAUGCCAAGCAUAACAUUCCAUUAUGACCAUAUCAUAGCAAUCAACAGGUGAAUUGAAUCAU
rnacentral:lncRNA from 1 species